AAUGGAAUAAGUGAUCCGGUUUUAUCCUGAAAAAUGUCAGAAGCUUCUUGGGAAGAGUUCUUCUAUCAUCCACAACUAGUUCUACUGAUUUUUAACGAUAAUACAAUUGUAGCAAAAUCUGCACAGGUGUGGAAUUGCGAAGACAAAAAUAUGCUCGCACCCUUACUAAACGGUGACAGAAGAUGGUAAUGAACGGAAGCACCACCAGCACUUUCUCCAAAGAUUGUCACGUUGUUCGGAUCUCCACCAAAUUGGGCGAUAUUUUCCUUCACCCAUUUCAGGGCAGCGGCCUGAUCUUUUAGUCCCAUAUUUCCGGCUGCCUCCUCAUCUUCAAGC
rnacentral:lncRNA from 1 species